GACGAACGCGUGGCCGGCGGUGGCCUAAUACAUGCAAGUAGAACGCUGACUACUUUAGGCUUGCUAAGGAGUAGAAGGAGUUGCGAACGGGUGAGUAACGCGUAGGUAACCUGCCUACUAGCGGGGGAUAACUAUUGGAAACGAUAGCUAAUACCGCAUAACAGUGUUUAACACAUGUUAGAUGCUUGAAAGAUGCAAUUGCAUCACUAUGAGAUGGACCUGCGUUGUAUUAGCUAGUUGGUAAGGUAACGGCUUACCAAGGCGACGAUACAUAGCCGACCUGAGAGGGUGAUCGGCCACACUGGGACUGAGACACGGCCCAG
rnacentral:rRNA from 1 species